ACGUUCUACAUGUUGUCCAGGCUUUGUGAGCAGCAGAGGGCAGUGUCAGUCCACCGGCCUGUGUCGGCGCCGCUGCCCCUAUCAGCAGGCACGGGUGCCGGGCUCCCUCUUUUCCCUCCUGCCGCCCAGCUGACAAACACGGGCAGCAACUAACUUAACUCUGCUACAUGUG